CUCUGGGCAAGCUUUUGAGCAACACCUGUGUGUGCCGGUCUGGGGUAGGAGCUGCGGCGGCAGCAGAGGGGAGAGAGGUGCGGACUGGCCAGGAGAACUUGUCAUCUGUCUCCUAGAGGACCUGGUCUGUCUUGGUUGCUCUGUAUCCCCAGCACCUAGACCAUGGCCCUGCAUGUGAGAUGAACUCCAUGGAGAAGGGGCUAUGCUGAUAAAGAAACAGUCUCAGCAGGUAAGUGGCUUGUCCAGAGUCACACAGCAGUUUGGUAGGUGGAGCUUGGACUUGAACCCAGUUC